GGGCGAUUAGCUCAGUUGGUUAGAGCGCCGCUUUCACAGAGCGGAAGCCACUGGUUCGAGUCCAGUAUCGCCCACCA
rnacentral:tRNA from 1 species